UAGGGAAUCUUCCGCAAUGGACGAAAGUCUGACGGAGCAACGCCGCGUGAGUGAAGAAGGAUUUCGGUUCGUAAAACUCUGUUGUUAGGGAAGAAAAAAUGUAUAGUAACUAUAUACAAAAGAGACGGUACCUAACCAGAAAGCCACGGCUAACUACGUGCCAGCAGCCGCGGUAAUACGUAGGUGGCAAGCGUUGUCCGGAAUUAUUGGGCGUAAAGCGCGCGCAGGUGGUUUAGAAAGUCUGAUGUGAAAGCCCACGGCUCAACCGUGGAGGGUCAUUGGAAACUAAUAAACUUGAGUGCAGGAGAGAAAAGUGGAAUUCCUAGUGUAGCGGUGAAAUGCGUAGAGAUUAGGAGGAACACCGGUGGCGAAAGCGGCUUUUUGGCCUGCAACUGACACUGAGGCGCGAAAGCGUGGGGAGCAAUCAGG
rnacentral:rRNA from 1 species